UCCAUUUUUCUGUUGCCUUCAGCAACUGUAGUAUGUUUUAGGAUUAGCUCUGUUUUUCUUUACAAGUAUUAUAUUUUAACAUAUAUUUUAGACAAAUGGAAUCAUACGCAAUGUUUGAUCCACAUCCACCUUUAUGUAACCUCCAGAACCCUGGCAGCCACACACCAUCUAUGGGCAACAGGAGAAACACAGACACAGCCGGGCCACCUCGUCUGGGUCCUUGAUGACGAACUCCCCGUAGUCGCCUUGCCACGCGAUGACAUCAUGAUACUCUUCUUUCC